CAGCCGCCGCGGGAAUACGUAGGGUGCAAGCGUUAAUCGGAAUUACUGGGCGUAAAGCGUGCGCAGGCGGUUCUAUAAGACAGAUGUGAAAUCCCCGGGCUCAACCUGGGAACUGCAUUUGUGACUGUAGAGCUGGAGUACGGCAGAGGGGGAUGGAAUUCCGCGUGUAGCAGUGAAAUGCGUAGAUAUGCGGAGGAACACCGAUGGCGAAGGCAAUCCCCUGGGCCUGUACUGACGCUCAUGCACGAAAGCGUGGGGAGCAAACAGGAUUAGAUACCCCCGUAGUCCCUGUCUCUUAUAC
rnacentral:rRNA from 1 species